UACAGAGGUGGCAAGCGUUGUUCGGAAUUACUGGGCGUAAAGGGCGCGUAGGCGGCCUUGUAAGUCUCGUGUGAAAGCCCUCGGCUUAACUGAGGAUCUGCACGGGAUACUGCGAGGCUUGAGUUCGGGAGAGGAAAGCGGAAUUCCGGGUGUAGCGGUGAAAUGCGUAGAUAUCGGGAGGAACACCGGUGGCGAAGGCGGUUCUCUGGGCCUGUACUGACGCUGAGGAGCGAAAGCGUGGGGAGCGAACAGG
rnacentral:rRNA from 1 species